UCAAGGCUGAAAUCAAGAAAAACCUGAGCACAAGAUAUGUGAAGGACAUGCUCCAUGUAGCAUCAGCGGUGGAUCCGCGGUUCAAAGUCCUGCCCUUCCUGUCAGAUGAGGAGCUAGGAAACACCUUCUCCAGACAGAAGCUAACCCUAACCCAUCAAGCUACUGAUGGUGAUGAUGAGGCUGAUGGAGUUGAGGGAGUGGUGGAACCCCCUUAACCUAAGAAGUCCAAGGAAUCCAGCGCCUUGAAGUCUCUCCUUGGGGAAGCCUACAGACCGAGCGAAAAUCCUCUGGCCUGGUGGAGGUCGAAUGAAAGAGAGUAUCCUCUUUUGGCUUGUGUAGCAAAGCGACACCUCUGUGUCCCUGGGACCAGUGACGCAUCUGAGAGGGUUUUUUCAACCGCGGGUGAUAUCAUCACCGCAAAAAGGAGCUGCCUCAACCCAAGGGCAUGUGAAUGAGCUCCUUUUCCUGCAAAAAAAUCUUUUAGUUCCCAAGUGAGAGCAGAGUUAUGAGAGGAGGACAGUUUACAGUCUAAGUCAAGUUUAAUUUCCAGUUUGAGUUUAUUUUGUUUUUCUUUGUUUCUAUAUCUAAUGCAUAGUGCACUAAAGCUUUGAUGGGAUUUUUAGACAGUUUACAGUUGGAAGUUUAAAAUGUCCAGUUUACAUGUUUGCACUUUGAAGGCAAUUGAAUGUCUUUUGCAUUUCUAAAGAAGCUACACAAAACUGUGAGACACAGUGAAGUGUCUUUAUGUUUCCUCAGGUACCGUACCUUUGAUGUUUAUUUACAUAAGGUAAUGAUAGUCUGGUUACUUUGAUGCCACUAGUAACCAACACUUUGUUUACAUUUACACUAGCUCAAUCUUUGUUACCUUUUCAUAUUGAUUAGACUGACUGCAUUAGAAAGACUGGUGAUAGUGGUUAGUCAGUCAUUCUGCUUGUCACACUGAUGCUGACUGGAGAGUGUAUACAACAUGCAGCAUAAAGUCUACUGUGACCCUACAGUAAAUGUGCUGUUCACAGCUGUUUGUGGGCCAAACGGCCAUGACAAAAUUAAAAUAAAAGUACAUUUGUAUUUGUUAAUAGCUUUGGGGUCAAUUCUUAAUGUAAUAUUUUUUAAUAAUGCACCAAGUUAGAGUUCCAGUACAAUUACAGCUUUUGUACAUUUUGAAUCUAAUUCUGUCCACAGUAGGACAUUAACGACUUUGAU